rnacentral:misc_RNA from 1 species
GAAAUGCGAUAAGUAGUGUGAAUUGCAGAAUUCAGUGAAUCAUCGAAUCUUUGAACGCACAUUGCGCCCCUUGGUAUUCCAUGGGGCAUGCCUGUUCGAGCGUCAUUUGUACCCUCAAGCUCUGCUUGGUGUUGGGUGUUUGUCCCGUCUCCGCGCGUGGACUCGCCCCAAAGUGAUUGGCAGCCGGCGUACUGGUCCCGGAGCGCAGCACAUGUCGCGCAAACGAGUGCCUUGGUACGGCGGCGUCCAUAAGCCCCUCUCACACGCUCUUGACCUCGGAUCAGGUAGGGAUACCCGCUGAACUUAAGC